AGCGCAGCUCGGCUGCGGGGGCAGAGCGCAGCUCCCCCAGAGAGGCUGCGGGCAGCAUGGGCGCGGGCCCGGCGCUGGCCCUGCUGCUGCUGGCCGGGUCGGUGCUGAGCGCCACGCUGCUGGCCCCCGGCCGCCGGGCGGAGCCAGAUUUAGAUGAAAAAAGGAACGUGGAGCUGAAGAUGGACCAGGCUUUGCUGCUUAUCCACAAUGAACUGCUGGGAACAAGCUUAACUAUAUACUGGAAGUCUGAAUAUUGCUACCAAUGCACCUUCCAGCCUCUGGCGAACGUCUCCCAUGGCCGAAAACCUGCAAAGCCAAGCGUUGAAGCUGUCUCUGUGAGCACCCAGCACGGGUCCAUCCUGCAGGUUAACUCUACCUUGGAA
rnacentral:lncRNA from 1 species